AUUUUUUUUUUUUUUUUUUCAUAAAAUUUCAUUGCAUUUGAUGAAGGAGAUAGCUUUGGCAAACAGCUUGUGUGCUUCAUCUGACGAUCGGGCUGGGGAGGAAGCUAACGGCACUGGUGCUCUCUGCAUUUCUCAAUUUCACUCUUGUGCCUGGUUCUCACUCUGAGGUCCAUGUCUGACUGUCUGCUUAUCUUCCUAAGGAAACACUUUUGAGCCUAUGUGAUCAAGCAAAAUUGAGGUCUAGAUCACUGUGACUUGGAGCAGACUCAAAUCAGCAGGCAUUGCUUUGCAGUUCCAGGCUCUUCUUAGGAAUUAGGAUGUGCCUUUUGGAUUAUUUUUCUAAUUUCUAUUAAUAAAUAAGUUUUGUGUUUUUAACUGAUCUAUCUUGAAAUUAAAUGGGAAAUGCAUUACAUUUACAAUUUUUGUUGGAUGGUUAAAUUAGAAAUUUACUUAAUGAAUAAUUGCAUCUUAGUUUCCAAUUGAGCUAGGUUUCCAAAAAUCAUUUUUGGUUGGAAUGUGUUCUUUCCUUUCUGAAGCUCCCCUCUGUGCUUUUAUUAUUGAAAUGCGUUGAUGUAAAUUAUUUGUAAUCUGUCAAGUUCUGGAUAUCUUCUGUGCGGUGCCUAUUAUUGGGUUGUUUUUCCCGACUCUAUCUUCUGUAUUCUUAUUUGCUCUCUGUUGAUCCCAUUCUUGGGUCAUUGUAGUUUUGUUUCUUAAUAUUGAACAUGGC
rnacentral:misc_RNA from 1 species